UGGAGACGUCGCUGCCGUGAUC
rnacentral:sRNA from 1 species